CAGAGCACGAAGGUUUUGGAGCAGAGGGACUUUAGAGCUGUGAUUUGAGUCGGAGGAACGUUCGCAAAGUGUUUUCGAAAGGCUAGCUAAGGAGAAAACCUGUAGAAUAGAGUUCCAAGGAGGAACUCCUUGUUGAUUUUGUGUCAAGUACUGUACGUAUGAAUAUAGGAACUCCGACUUAGGGGUUCAUUCUUAUGCUCUCAAUAGUCUCGAUCUCACUUAGAGAGAAAGCUAUGUGGUGGAGAGUGGGAAAUCCUUACCGAAGAUCUACAGUGGGGUGGACAGAGUAGGAAGGAUGUAGCUUCAGUGGUUUUAUUCAUAUCCGAAGAUCCAGUUUGGGGGACAGAGUAGGAUAGAAUAAUUGAGCUAGCUAAUAAGUGCAUCCAUAUUCGAAGAUCCAGUUUGGGGGACAGAGUAGGAUGGGAUGUAGCUGAGUAAAGUACCACUGUAAGUAUAGAACUAGCUAAGAGUUCAAUAUUCAUACGAUUAUCUGGAUGAGUGAAUUUACGAUGAGUAUGGUAUGUUUAUAGUAUUAUUGAGUAAUUUAACUUGUAAGUUGGAAAAUUAGUUAUUUAUGUAAUUUACCAUAACAUUUUAUGUUGCAUUAGCUCACCCUUGCUUUGUAUGUUGUGUGGUUGCUAUUUUGUGUUAUGUAUUUUGUCUGGCGAUGAUCAUCCGGUGGAUGGGAGCAGAAGUUGCUGUUAUGCCGGUGGAGCAAGCUUUAGAUGGAGGAUCGACGGAAGCUUAGUUAUAAGAAAGAGCCUUAUAAUUUUAGUCUAUGUUUUAAGUGUGAACUGUAUUUUCGUUUGAAUAUGAGUGAGGGUUUGUAUAAUAAUGAGGAAAACUGUUAUUCCUCCUCCUAUCAACUGUUCUAUUGUAUCAAUGAUGUAAGAACUCUAUUAUAGUUUAAUGCUAUAAUAAUUGGGA
rnacentral:sRNA from 1 species